rnacentral:rRNA from 1 species
UACAGAGGUCUCAAGCGUUGUUCGGAUUCAUUGGGCGUAAAGGGUGCGUAGGCGGCGCGGUAAGUCGGGUGUGAAAUCUCGGAGCUUAACUCCGAAACUGCAUUCGAUACUGCCGUGCUUGAGGACUGGAGAGGAGACUGGAAUUUACGGUGUAGCAGUGAAAUGCGUAGAGAUCGUAAGGAAGACCGGUGGCGAAGGCGAGUUUCUGGACAGUUACUGACGCUGAGGCACGAAAGCCAGGGGAGCAAACGGG